CAGAGAGAGAGAGAGAGACAGACACACACACACAGAGAGAGACACAGAGAGAGAGAGAGACAAAGAGAGACACACACACAGAGAGACAUAGAGAGAGAGAGAGAGACACACACACAGAGAGAGACACACAGAGAGAGAGAGAGACAAAGAGAGAGAGAGACACAGAGAGAGAGAGACACACAGAGAGAGACACAGAGAGAGAGAGAGAGAGAGACACUGAGUGGAUAUGAAUGCAUUCUCAGCUGAACAGUGAUUUAAAUCUCCAAUUCUAUGGCGAUGCUCACAGACAGAGCUCUGCAAAAAUCAAAUAAUACGGGAUUUAUCUUAAAGAUUCAAGUUUUCUUCUGCCUCCAGAAUGUUCUCCGUUUUCAGUAACUGCAAAGACUGCAGCAUUCUGUCAAAGCUUCAUCCUCACAUCCCACUUUACAAUAGCUACACACAGUACAAUCAUCACAGCGCGCUUCCAAUCAUCUGCAUUUCCUGUUUAGCAGCUUCCUGUCGUACUUUCUACAAUGUGACCAUGGGUAGGAACUAACUGUGCUCUUUCCUGUCAGCCAACCACCCGAGACGGGUCAAUGGAGAAACCGGAAGUGCAGUUUUAACAGCAUCCGUUCCCCGGUAGUAGUUUGACAGCUUUGUAUUGAAUAAUACUUGUGAAGAUGGCGCUUCGGCCAGGAGCUGGAGCCGGUGGUAGCGGCGGAGGCGGCAGUGUGGUAAAUCAGAAGAUGAUGAUUUUCAAGAUGCCUCUAAAUCUGGACCCAUUGAUAUUUCCUUCUCCGAUUUCUAGAGUGAUAUUUCAGUGAAACCAACCACUUCUCAAACUGGCAUAAGUUUGUGUUUGAAUCUUCUCAACAACAGAUCCCCUACAGCAGAUGUAACCCUCGUGAGGACAAAUGUAUUAAUGAUGAGUGUAGUUUUUUAUCGUAAUAAUGAUAAUAUAGUGUAAUAAUUAUUGAAAUACUUUAUGAGUAUUUAGAAAAACAUAAUAAUUUUAAAAGAAUUGUAAAAAAGUAGACUGUCUAUGUAAGUUUAUUUUAACCCCUUAAAAAUAGGGGUUUUUUUACACCACAGGACCAGACCAAUGGUUCAUGUUUUUACAAAGUUUCUCUGUCUCUCUUU